AUGGCGCCCGCGGCAGCAUCUGCAUCGGCAUCCCUCGCCGCCACCGCCCCGCACCACGCCCUCGCGCCCCCUCGCGCCUCCGUCUCCGUCGCCGCCGCCGGGAGGAACAGCGGCCUGUCCGUGUCGGUCGGCGUGCGCCCCGUGCCGGGGAUUUCCGUGGUCAACUCGCAGCGGAGGAGGAUGGUCGCGGCGGCGGCGGCGACCGAGAUGGCGCCCGCGGCGAGGGGCGAGGGCGGGGGCAAGCCGUUCGUGGACGAGAUGAGGGCCGUCGCCAUGCGGCUGCACACCAAGGACCAGGCCAGGGAGGGGGAGAAGGAGCCCCAGGCGCCCCCCGUCGCCAGGUGGGAGCCCACCGUCGAGGGCUACCUGCGCUUCCUCGUCGACAGCAAGCUCGUCUUCCAGACGCUCGAGGACAUCGUCGACCGCGCCGCCGUCCCCUGGUAUGCGGAGUUCAGGAAUACUGGGUUGGAGAGAUCAGAGCCACUGAAGAAAGAUCUGGAGUGGUUCACGGAACAGGGUCACACCAUUCCAGAACCAACUGCUGCUGGUACUGCAUAUGCUUCCUAUCUGGAAGAGUUGUCUGAGAAGGACCCCCAAGCAUUUAUCUGCCACUUCUAUAAUGUGUACUUUGCUCAUACUGCUGGAGGCCGAAUGAUUGGCAAAAAGGUUGCUGAGAAGAUUCUGGACAAGAAAGAGCUGGAGUUCUACAAGUGGGAAGGUACCCUGUCCCAGCUGCUGCAGAAUGUCCGCACCACACUAAACCAAGUUGCUUCUAGCUGGUCUCGGGAAGAGAAGGACCACUGCCUGGAGGAGACCGAGAAGUCGUUCGCCUACUCAGGAGAUCUCCUACGCCAGAUAUUCACCUAA
rnacentral:rRNA from 1 species